GGAGAGGUGGCAGAGUGGUCGAAUGUACCUGACUCGAAAUCAGGCGUGGUAGCAAUAUCACCGAGGGUUCGAAUCCCUCCCUCUCCGCCA
rnacentral:tRNA from 1 species